GACGAACGCUGGCGGCGUGCCUAACACAUGCAAGUUGAGCGACGAACCAGGGCUUGCCCUGGGGCAAAGCAGCGAACGGGUGAGUAACACGUGGGUAACCUACCCCGAUAACCGGGACAACCCGAGGAAACUCGGGCUAAUACCGGAUGUGCUCACUGGACUUCGGUUCAGUGCGUAAAGGAAGCUUCGGCCUCCGUAUCGGGAGGGGCCCGCGGCCCAUUAGUUUGUUGGUGAGGUAACGGCUCACCAAGACUGCGAUGGGUAGCUGGUCUGAGAGGACGAUCAGCCACACUGGGACUGAGACACGGCCCAGACUCCUACGGGAGGCAGCAGUGGGGAAUCUUGCGCAAUGCGCGAAAGCGUGACGCAGCAACGCCGCGUGGGGGAAGAAGGCCUUCGGGUUGUAAACCCCUUUCAGGAGGGACGAAGGUUCGGCGGUGAAUAGCCGUCCGGACUGACGGUACCUCCACAAGGAGCCCCGGCUAACUACGUG
rnacentral:rRNA from 1 species